AUGACCGACCCGAAGCUGUGGUUGUUUAACCUUUGCAGAACACUCAGCAAGGACCAAUUCAUCUCGGUAUUAGUUACAUUGUGGGGUAUUUGGUGGGCUAGGCGAAAGGUAAUCCACGAACACGAACUACAGAGCCCGCUAUCCACACAUCAAUUCAUCAUAAAGUUUCUGCAGGAGCUUCAAGAGAUCCGAGCGAGACAACAAGUUGCUAGACUUGCAAGAGCUUCGGUUACAACACAUGAUAAGGCCUGGAUCCCACCGGGAAUGGGAGAGGUAAAGCUAAAUGUAGACGGUGCGGUGGCCAAGUCAUCCAACGUUGGGGCAGUGGGCGUUGUAUGCCGGAGUGAUACCAGACUUUUUUGGGGGGCCUCGGCUGUUGUAUUUCAUGGGUUGACUGAACCAGCGACAUUGGAGGCAUUUGCUUGUAGGGAGGCACUCGCUCUAGCCGAGGAUUUGGUUGUGAAUAAAGUGCAUGUUUCAACGACCUGA
rnacentral:rRNA from 1 species